UACGUAGGGUGCAAGCGUUGUCCGGAAUUAUUGGGCGCAAAGAGCUCGUAGGCGGUCUGUCGCGUCGGAUGUGAAAAUCAGGGCUCAACCCUGGACCUGCAUUCGAUACGGGCAGACUAGAGUUCGGUAGGGGAGACUGGAAUUCCUGGUGUAGCGGUGAAAUGCGCAGAUAUCAGGAGGAACACCGGUGGCGAAGGCGGGUCUCUGGGCCGAAACUGACGCUGAGGAGCGAAAGCGUGGGGAGCAAACGGG
rnacentral:rRNA from 1 species